rnacentral:rRNA from 1 species
GGACGGCCCGCCCGAGGACCCUAAACUCUGUUUUUAGUGGAACUUCUGAGUAAAACAAACAAAUAAAUCAAAACUUUCAACAACGGAUCUCUUGGUUCUGGCAUCGAUGAAGAACGCAGCAAAAUGCGAUAAGUAAUGUGAAUUGCAGAAUUCAGUGAAUCAUCGAAUCUUUGAACGCACAUUGCGCCCGCCAGUAUUCUGGCGGGCAUGCCUGUUCGAGCGUCAUUUCAACCCUCAAGCUCAGCUUGGUGUUGGGACUCGCGGUAACCCGCGUUCCCCAAAUCGAUUGGCGGUCACGUCGAGCUUCCAUAGCGUAGUAAUCAUACACCUCGUUACUGGUAAUCGUCGCGGCCACGCCGUUAAACCCCAACUUCUGAAUGUUGACCUCGGAUCAGGUAGGAAUACCCGCUGAACUUAA